UUGAAAGGAAAGAGGGCGGCGGGAGGCCUGCUGGGUAAUGUAGUUCGCCUUUCUUUCCCAGGAUGGCGGGCCCGGGAGAGCCGGGCGCUGCCGGGACGCCGGAGGUGCAGCCAGAGCAGCCGAGACAGCCCAGGGGAGUGACGCCGAAAGCAGCCGUCUUACGCUCCCUCCCCGCCAACCCCGGCGCGACCCUGGGUGCCAGGCACUGAACUUGGCGCAGAGAGGCCUUCAGGAGAAAUAUACGAUGCUGUACACCCCUCCAAGCAAAGGGGGUUGUAAAGUCAUUGGAGGAACUGUGUGACACAGUAUAACUGCCUUAGAAAUCCAUUUAUUAAUUCACGGAACAUUUGGUGUCUUCCUAUUCAACUAGCUUAUAAUUCCUGUCUCCUAAAUCUUAUCCUGAAAAGUCUGCAAAAGAAUUGAGCCUCCACAGCCCCUAAAUCCGCUUUUCAAAGGACAGUAGCUAAUAAAUUAGUUGAGCGAAUACUAUUUGCCAGGCACCAAGUGAAACCCUCUCUGUGCUUUGUCUCCUUAAGUCCACACGGCAACUUUUACAGUGGAAGGAACCAAGGCUGGGAGUGAUGACGGAACUUGCCCAGGGGUACACAGCCAGCAAGGAGGUGCUGGUCUGCGCCGGGCUGCGGACCUCAGAGCCAAUGGGUUUAACCACAUCCCCUCAUCUCAAAACAUGAGGACCCACCUUCUCCAAGUCACCAGGGAGCACCUCUCCUCCAGCUACAAGAAACAUCCGUCUUCCUCACUGGUGCAUUUAUAAUGAGGUGUUUUUUUCUUUUCAACUGAGACUUUGUGUGCAAAAUGUGUGUGCAUUUGUUUGUAUGUAUCUGAUGCCCCAAAUGAUUCUAUGCCAGAGAAGAAUGAUCCUGUUCAUAUACCUCAUCAGUCAAAAAAAAAUUUUGGAUCCACACCUAUAGUACAUGUUUACCAUUUAUCUAUCUAUUAUAUUUACCAAAAUACACAUUUUAAAUGAUGACCUAAAGAUGAAGUAAGCAUUUUUAAGUAAUUCAAAACUUUUGACAAUUAAUGAUUCAAAAGUCCUUUUGCUCUUAGGGAAACUUUUUUUUUUUUUGCCAAUAUUUACCGUACAAGUGAACAUCAACAGCUAUCAAAUAUUUUCUCCUGGCCCCUCAGUGGCUCGUGGUAGGACACGUGCAUGGAGGCCACAAACCAUACCCUGGGUUUUGAAUGUUUGUCACGUUUCCCAAUUUGUUAAUAACAAAAUGAUUGCAGUAAAUAAUGAAGAUGCAGUCAGCUAAACCCGAGUGAAGUUUCACUCCUUUCCUGACUUAUUUCUUACCCUAGUAGUCUUUGUUUUUUGUGUUUUAAAUAAAUGAUUUAUUACGCAUAAUUAUAAUAGCUGAGAUAGCAUUGCCUAUGCAUUUUUGCAUCCAGCUUUAGUCACUUAAUAAAAUUAAAAUCACACAAUUUCUGUGUUAUUAAAAAGUCUUGGGGCCGGCCUGGUGGCACAGUGGUU